AAGCCCCACACUCCCUUCAUAACAGCCUCCAAAGCCCCAAAACCACUCUUUUCUUUUCCACUGAAACUUCCAUCCUGCAGCUCUCUAAGCCCAGGCAGCUGCCAGGCAAGAGAACUUGAUCUGACAAAUGAAUUCACACUAUUGUGAGAAUGACAUGCAGGCAGCACCUCAAAGGCCUCAGUUUCACGGUGCCACUGCAGACAGGAGCAGUGACCCAUAUGGCGGGGAGCACCAGCAGGAAUCACAGUGACAGGACCUGCACCAGGGGAGUAAGCCAGCUCAGCAGAGGUCAUUCUGGAGUCUCCCGUAAUUGUUCUCGCUGGACGAGGCAUUGGCAUGGCCAGUAGCCUGCACUGGGAUGUCACAGGAACCAUCUCAGGAAACUCCAGCCCAGGAAACUCCCUAUGGUGUAAGAACUUCUCAAAGGCAUUGCAUUUCUCGGUGACUUCCAGGCGCUGCCUGUGUGUCUGCACAGUACAGAGCACAACUGGCAAAGAACGGAGUUUCUCUUCCUUCUCCCACCAUGCUGCCCCUCCUCCUCCUUCUGCUGGGGCUUUUAUUCCCUGUGGGCCUUGCAGGCAGCACUAAAAAGGAACCUGGAAGCUGUGAGGUGUGGGAAAGUUUUCUUGACAUUUCUCCCAGAGGUGAACUGCAGAGAAUUGGGAACAAAGGGUGAAAUGAUCCUUCCAAAAGCCAUACAAAGAAUCAACGACAGUUGCAUUCAUCAAAAUUCUUGCUUACAUUUCUCUGGAGAAAAGCUAAGAUUUUCUCAUUGGGUUUCUGGCUCCCCGAAUUGAUGGGAAAUGGUAGCAGACAGCUCUGGAGGAAAUCUGGGCUCACCCAGAAAUCUGGGCUUAAUCAAUGAUUUCCGCCAUUCAUCCUUCUUACCAAGAGGCUCCUACAGUUCCACAUUGCUUCCAUCCCAAGUCAGAGGUACUUUUUGAAAACACAAAAGUUAAUAAAUUAAGAGAGGGGCCUUGCACAGGCCAGUACAGAGAAUUUUUGUGAACGAAGAACUAGAAACCCAGUCCAAUUUAAAAGUAUUACAAAAUUUUUUGGUAAUAUUUCAACAUGUAGAUAAAAUCAGAGACUGAUCCAGUGAAUAGGAGUGGACCCGUUUUCCAGCUCUAUUCUCUAGGGUAGACUUGGAGUAACAAACAACCCCCAAACCUCAGUGGCUGACAGUACUCGUCUCCCACUCAUCCUCCCAUCCUUCUAGGGUUGCCUGAGGGUGUCAUGCUCGCUCAGGGACUGGGGAGGACAGAAGCUUUGUCUCUGGGCUGCCAUGUUUGCCAAAGUUUUUGUGCACUGGCUCGGGAGGCCAGAAACAUAAGUCAAUUCCAGUCACAUUUCAUUGGCCAAGGCAAAUCUCUAGGCUGCUCCUUAUUCAAAGUGGGUGGGGAAAUGGAAUCCUACGAUGGGCCUGGUAGGCCGAGAGCCAGAAGUAUUUGGUGGGUAGCACGAAUGAUGGCCACAUCGGCUUCAGCAAAUAUUAACACAUUGCCUUAUUUGCUUCAUGUCUUUUUACUUCGAAGAAAGUAAAUACCAGCGAAACAAUUGAGUUUCUCUGUAUACCUCCCUCAUCCCAUUUUCUUCCCUCAUUUCCCAGAGCUAAGCACUGUUUUGAGAUCAGUGUUAAUCAUCUUCAUGCAUGUUUUUAUACUUUUACUAUUUUUACUACAUUUUUUAUGUAUCACAAACAUUGCAAAGUAUUAUUAUGCAGCCUUUUAAACUUUAUAUAGUGUAUAAUCAUAUCUAUAGUAUCAUUAUCUUCUGCAAUGUUCAUUUCCCCUUUAGCAUUACAAUUGUGAGAUUUGUAUCUAUGCUGACACAUACUGUGUUGUAUUCCAUUGUAUAACUAGAAUACAAUUUAAUUAUCUAUUCUCUUGUUGAUGGACAUUUAAGUUGUUUCCAGCACUGCAGUGAACAUCUUAAUACAUGUCUUCUUGACUAUAUGCCUAGGAGUGGAAUUUCUGGACAUGAUCAUCUUCAGCUGUAUUAGUUGUUGCCAAAUUGCUCUCUGGAGUACUUGGAUCAACUUACAGUUCCACUAGCAGUGAAUGAGACUCCGUGAUUUAACAUCUUUCCCAACACUUGGCAUUGACAUAUACUUUUGCUAUCUGGUGGGUGUGAAUGAUAUCUCAUUGGUGUUUGGAUUUGUAUUCCUUUAAUAGUGAGAGUAAGCAUCUUUUUAUAUUUUUAUUGACCUUCUGGAGUUCUUCUGUGAAUUGAUAGUUUUGCCCAUUUUCCCCCAUAUGUUGUCUUUUUCUUAAUAAUUUGAGAGAUUGCUUUACAUAUUGUAUUCAUUGCAAAUAUUAUCUUCCAGCCUAUGGCUUGUUCUUCACUUUGUUCUCAUGGCCUUUGUUGUACAAAAGUGAAUUUUAAUGUACUAGUCAACAUUACCACUUUUAAAAUUAAACGAACCACAAGUUUUUAUUUGCAGUGUUUUUAAAUGAACUCUUCAUCUUAAAGUCACAAAGAAUUUUUCUAUCUCUUCAUCUUCUGUUUUAAAGUUGUGCUUUUUUUUAAGUUCUUUAAUUCACCCAGGACUGAUCCGAUGUAGAAAUCUACUUUUGUAUUUUCCAUAUGGAUAAAAGUUGCUCCUAGCACUCAUUUAUCAGAUAGAACACGCUUUCCCCACUGGCGUGUAACAUCAUCUCUGCCCUGUCUUGUUUCCAAACAUGGGCAGGCCAGUGACUGGGCCCUCUAUUCUGCUCCCUUACUUAUCCCUGUGCCCAGACUAUAUUGUCUUCUUUACUAAAUAUUUUGAUAAUAGAUCUUGAUAUCUGGUAGGGCAAGUUCUUCCACCUUGUACUUUUUCAAAAUUGUUUCUCAGUUAUUCUUGGCCCUUUGCUCUUCCAAGGGAAUUUUGAGAUCAGAUUAUCUAGUUCAAAACAAAACCAAACACAAUCCAAACACAACCAAAAAAAAAAAAAGGUUGUGUUGGACUUCAGUUGAAAUUCAAAUUCUAUAAUUGAUUUGGGAAGAAUUGACAUCUUUAUGAGUUUACAUCUUCCUUUUUAUUUGUUUCCUUUUAUCUGGCGUGUGCUUAGGAUUUCCAAGCCCUCCAGAAGAUCCCAAACUUUUUCCUCUUCUUUCCUCUCUAACUCUUCUUACUUUGACCCAAACAUGACUUCCUUUCUAUUUCUUGUUUUGGCUUCAGUAUCUUUCCUUACAAUACCAUCCAUCUCUUUCAAAAGUCUCCUAAUUCUUCUAACUCUUUUCAGAUGUGCAAAAGGUAAAGCCCAGACACACGUCAUAAUAAUAGGAGGGGAAGGGAGUUCUGGCAGCCUCCUGUGAGGAGAUAGGAAGGCAUAAUUCCACAUGGGGGGUGCACAAUAAUCUCUCUGAGCUUCAGGAUGUAGUAUGUGCAGUGGUUAACAGCCCAGCCUGCUCGGUUUGAAUUCCAGCUCUAUCGUUUACCAACUCUGAUCUUGGGUAAAUUAUAUAACCUCAGCAUGCCUCAGUUUUCCCUUCUAUAAUGCAGGGAUGAAAAUGUUAAUUCUCUCAUUGGGUAACUGUGAAAAAUAAAUGAGCCAAAGUAUGUAAAGUACUGUCUGGGCACAGUGGCUCAUGCCUGUAAUCCCAGCACUUUGGGAGACUGAG